GUUGUCGUAACCGAAUGGUUAAGGCGAUAGACUAGAAAUAUUUUGGGAUCUUCCCGCGCAGGUUCAAAUCCUGCCGACAACG
rnacentral:tRNA from 1 species